AACGAACGCUGGCGGCAGGCUUAACACAUGUAAGUCGAACGCCCCGCAAGGGGAGUGGCAGACGGGUGAGUAACACGUGGGAACAUGCCCAAAGGUACGGAAUAUUCUCGGGAAACUGGGAGCAAUACCGUAUGUGCCCGAAAGGGGAAAGAUUUAUCGCCUUUGGAUUGGCCCGCGUUGGAUUAGCUAGUUGGCGGGGUAAAAGCCUACCAAGGCGCCGAUCCAUAGCUGGUCUGAGAGGACGACUAGCCACACUGGGACUGAGACACGGCCCAGACUCCUACGGGAGGCAGCAGUGGGGAAUCUUGGACAAUGGGCGCAAGCCUGAUCCAGCCAUGCCGCGUGAGUGAUGAAGGCCCUAGGGUUGUAAAACUCUUUCGUGGGGGACGAUAAUGACGGUACCCCAAGAAGAAGCUCCGGCUAACUUCGUGCCAGCAGCCGCAGUAAGAC
rnacentral:rRNA from 1 species